rnacentral:misc_RNA from 1 species
CUUGUAAGGCCUUGUAAAUUACGACUUAAAUCUUUUGCAUAAUACCAUAUUCUGUUGUCUUUUUUCCCUGAAAUAAUGACAGAUGCAUCAUGCCAUGUCUAUUGUGCUUUAUUGCUAGAUGUUCGCCGUCUCUUUUUUUCCUCACCAUUUGUGCUUUGUAGGAGAAUUAGUGAUCUUAGUGGUGAAGAUUUUUCUCUUGAGUUAAGAAAAACAGUCUUGACAAACUGCCUACUUUCAGGACAAAUUCCAGAACUGCUUGGCACAUUUUCUAAGUUGAA